rnacentral:rRNA from 1 species
GACGAACGCUGGCGGCGUGCUUAACACAUGCAAGUCGAACGGUAAGGCCCCCUUGUGGGGUACUCGAGUGGCGAACGGGUGAGUAACACGUGAGUAACCUACCCUUGACUUUGGGAUAACUUCAGGAAACUGGGGCUAAUACCGGAUAGGAGCUCCUGCUGCAUGGUGGGGGUUGGAAAGUUUCGGCGGUUGGGGAUGGACUCGCGGCUUAUCAGCUUGUUGGUGGGGUAGUGGCUCACCAAGGCUUUGACGGGUAGCCGGCCUGAGAGGGUGACCGGCCACAUUGGGACUGAGAUACGGCCCAGACUCCUACGGGAGGCAGCAGUGGGGAAUAUUGCACAAUGGGCGGAAGCCUGAUGCAGCAACGCCGCGUGCGGGAUGACGGCCUCCGGGUUGUAAACCGCUUUCGCCUGUGGCGAAGCGUGAGUGACGGUAAUGGGUAAAGAAGCACCGGCUAACUACGU